AUACAUCCUUUUGCAAUUCUAAAAUGAGGUUGGUGUGUAUGGUAGUGAUUAUUCUAAGCUUAGUUAGGGUGGAGGCAGUGUCUUCAUUCUUAACAGAUGGCAAAAACAAAACUUCAACAUCAAUGGAAAGCAAAAACAAGGAAUUGGACGAUAUGAGCAUCCUUCGACAGAUGAUUAACCAAGAAACAAUUAUUCGUCUGGCUUUGGUUAAGAAUUUCCACGCACUGGUUAAUGACGUCAUUGUUUUGAAACAAAGUCUUGCAAAAAGUGAAUGGAAAAUAUCAGAACUACAGCGGGCGGUGACGUCGCUUCAAAAGGAAAAUAGAGAACUAAAGAAGAGUAGCAGUAGCAGUGAUUCCAGAAUUAUGGAAGAGGAAAAAAGACAGUUUUAUUUUAACAAAACGAAUAGUGUUCUUAAUGAUGUCAAAAUAGAAGUGCGGUAUCUAUCAGCUACCUUAUUAGAUUUCAAAGAAAGAACAGAGACCGAAAACGAGUCAAGAGAUAAAAAAUAUGAAGAACUUCAACGUCAUUUUAAUUCAUCAAUUGCAGAUUUAUAUGUUAAAAAUUCUCAAAUUAAACAAGAUGUUACUAGCCAAACUGCGCUCAUUCAUGGAUUCGAGGAUUCUCAAUCGAAAACAAAGAGGGCAUUUUUAGAAAACCUUAAUAGAACAACAUCAAAUUUUGAAACGAAGUUCCAAUCCUUUAAAAAUGAGCAGCUUAAACUGUCAACUGCUGUGGCUUCUUUAGAGUUGGCCAACAUGAACAUGUCCAAAUCAAACUGUGGUAAGAUUAAUUUUAUGACUAUAAAUUUUGUUCUGUAACAAAUGUUUUGAAUUCUAUUGUAUGCAUUAUGAUAUUAAUUCGAAUGACUAAAAUAAUGUUUAUGAUAACAAAUUUGAUCAAUAAAAAAGUACGAUCCUCAUUUUGAGCACCUUACAGUCUAGGUUCCAGAUCUUUAGAAUUAUUUUUGAAAUUAACACAUUUUUAGUAAAAUGUUAAAUACAUAACAGUAAUUAGGUUAACGAAUCUCCGAUUACUUCUACUUAUUUUCGUACUGGUGAACGUUGAAAAUAUGAAACAAUUCAAAAUGUGUAAAAACUUAUCGAUAAUAUUCACGAAGGGAAACAUUUAACGAAACAAUUUCAAACAAAAUGCACACACAAAACAAUGUCAACGAUUUCAAAUGAAAAAAAACACUUUCAUUUAAAGUUUUUACAGACUUAACAAAAACAAUAUUUAGUACGGUUUUAUUUUGAUCAUAACUGUUGAGCAUCAAUAUGUCUUCUAGAGUCUAUUUAAUUCAAUGCUUUAGAAUUUAGUAUGAAAUACCACACGAUGUCUGUUCAGAUAGAAUGAAGAUAUUUUUCUUAAAAUAGUUUUUUUCUGAUAUGACAAACUUGCAUAAGAAUGUGUAAAAUGAAUUGGGACAUUCCGCAGACUUGCCUAUAAAGGUUUAUUUUGAUACGGCCUCUUUUUUAACAAUUCAUAAACUAGCAGGACUCAUGCGUCUGUUUUUAUAAUAAGGUCAAUAUUUGUUAUGAUACAGGGAAACCACCAUCCUAAUUUUCUCCCUUUUCCCUAAAUUUUCUGUUGAAGUUUUAAUAUACAAUCAUGUAGUACACAAUCAUAAUCCAAAAUAAGAAUAACUACAUGUAUUAGAAGUCCCUUACAUUCAGAUGCAUUAAAGAGUCACUGUCCUUUGAACUGUAUAAAAUUAGCGGUUGAUUGAUUUUCUAACUGUAAUUCUAGCAUUAAUAAUCAUCAGAAAAAAACUAAGAAUUUCAUGUAACAUAGAUCCCUUUCCACCGUACUGUGUAAAGGAAUUAAUGAAAUACUUAUAUCGUCCUUCAGAGUUUUCCUGUUCUUUAACUUAUGGAUAUAUGAUAUAUGAAAAAAAAGAAAUAAGCAUAAAACUCAAAACAAAUGGACAUUGAAACUUAUACUAUGUACCCGCUUGAUUACUAAAUAUAAUUAGUGUGUCUAUUACGCUGAAUUUUUUAGUUAUACAGUCGCAUUAAUUAAUUCAUUACUUGUAGAAAACAGUCGCAACCAUGCAUUUUCUGCGGGUAUAUCAUUAGGUAAGUCUGUUUGGACAGGAGGCACUCUGGUGUUCCCCGUAGUAAUCUACAGUGAAGGAACAGGCUACAACCCCAGUACUGGUAUCUUUACAGCGCCGACAGCGGGGACAUAUGUGUUCUAUGUCUCUGUUCAGUCUGCCCAUCAAAAACUCAUCUAUUUAGACAUAGUUUUGAAUGGAUCGGCUAAGGUCAGGGCCAUGGCUUGGUACAACAGUGGGAGCAGCGUUAAUAUGAUUCAGACCGGAACCAACCUGGUUAUCUUACAUCUACAGACCGGGGACAAAGUAUGGGUCAGACGAGGCGGUGGUGAUGGUUACUACAGUGAUGGUUAUCACAUAACAACGUUUUCUGGAUUUAAACUUUUCUAGUACCUGAUCACUACUUGACGUUAAUGUAUCAGGGUUUUUUUCUUAUUUCGAAUCCCUGUAUAAGAUGCAUUAACUGUUAGAAUUUAAAAAAAAUUAUUUUUUGGUAUAUUUAUUUUGGUUUUAUUUUAAAUGUAUUCAUUUCAAUGCAGUAAAAAUGAAUUUAUAUAUAUAUAUAUAUGCCAUUUUGUCAUCUUUCAGCAAUUUUGGUUAACGUUCAAAGUGGUUAAAUUAAUUAUAUAAUGUUUAUCUUUUCUUAAAAAUCAAAUUCCAUGCAUAAAAAAAUAAAACGUGUAUUACCCAC
rnacentral:misc_RNA from 1 species